rnacentral:rRNA from 1 species
CCCUUAGAUGUUCUGGGCCGCACGCGUGCUACACUGAGUGGAUCAGCGGGUCAGGUUGCGCGAAAGCGUUUCCUAAUCUUUAAAUCCGCUCGUGAUGGGGAUUGACGGUUGCAAUUUUCUGUCAUGAACGAGGAAUACCUUGUAAGCGCGGGUCAUCAUCCCGCGCUGAAUACGUCCCUGCCCUUUGUACACACCGCCCGUCGCUCCUACCGAUUGAGUGGUCCGGUGAGGCUUUGGGACUGCGCGGUCUGCAGUUUCUGCGUUCCGUGCGGAAAGUUGCGCAAACCUUAACAUUUAGAGGAAGGAGAAGUCGUAACA